ensembl:lncRNA
GGUUUAGAGUUUCAUCUGGAAACUAUAUAUAUAAUUUUUAUAAUUCUUCCAAAAUUCUUUAUCUCUUUCCACCAUUUAUCCACCCUCUUUUCUAGAUCCUUUUACAUAUUAUUGUGUGUUUGAGGCAUAGUAUUUUGCAUCUGUUCCUAUUGACAGAUUCUACUUUUUACUCUACACGUUUUCUUUCUUGACGUUUCUAGUAAUUUUCAAUCAUACACUGGACAUUUGAUGAUUUAUUUUAGAGGUUCUAGAUUUUGUUAUUUUCUUCAAAAGGGUUUUGAAUUUUAAUUUCUGCAGAUGCAUAAAUUAAUGUGGACCACUUUGAUCUUAUUAAGACUUAGUUAUAGGCUUUUAAUUAAUUUUUUUUUUUACAGUUGCACCUGCAGCAUAAAAAUUUCCUGGGCCAGAGGUCGAAUUGGAGCUGCAGCUGCCGGCCUGCACCACGGUCACAGCAACUUCGGAUCCUUAAUCCACUGGGUAAACUCACGUAUUCACAGAGACGAUAUGGAGUCCCUAACCUACUGAGCCACAGUGGGAACGCCACCUUUUUGUUUAUCUUAACAUUUUAUUUUAUUUUUAUUAUUAUUCUUUUUUCAUCUUUUCUCUUUUUAGGGCUGCACCCACGGCACAUGAAGAUUCCCAGGCUAGGGGUCUAAUUGGAGCUGUUGCUGCCGGCCUAUACCACAGCCACAGCAAUGCCAUAUCCGAGCCACAUCUGUGACCUACACAACAGCUCAUGGCAAUGCUGGAUCCUUAACCCACUGAGUGAGGCCAGGGAUCGAACUGACAACAUCAUGGUUCCUAGUCGGAUUCAUUUCCGCUGUACCACGAUGGAAACUCCUUAUUGUAUUGUAUUGUAUUGUAUUUUUAGUUCUAGGCUUGUUAAAGGCUGGUCUGUUUCAUCUUGCCCUCAAUUUUAGGGCAUGAUCUUUGCUUCUACAGAUGAGUGUUCCAGAGUCUCUCCUUUCUGGCCCAGUCAGCGUCUCCCCAGGGCUGUGAAACCCCUGACAUUCCUCUGCAGAUUCUUGUCCCUCAGCAGUUCUCCUCUGCUUCUCAGGCUUUUCAGAGCCUCAUCUUCACAUACAUAGCUUCGAAUUUGUAAAAGGACACCCAGGGAGGGAGUUCUCAGUGGCCUAGCAGUUAAAAAUCCAGUGUUGUUACUGCUGUGGCUCUGGUCACUGCCGUGGCAAGAUCCCUGGCCUGGAAAUUUCCAAAUGCUAGGGCACAGCUGGGGGAAAAAAAAAAAAAAAAAGAGAGAGAGAGAGUUCCCAUUGUGGCUUAGCACGUUAAGAACCUAAGGGAGUUGCCAUCGUGGCUCAGUGGUUAAUGAAUCUGACUAGGAACCAUAGGGUUGCAGGUUUCGAUCCCUGGCCUCACUCAGUGGGUUAAGGAUGCGUUGUUGCUGUGAGCUGACAGAUGCGGCUUGGAUCUGGAGUUGCUGUGGCUGUGGUGUAGGCUGGCAGCUACAGCUCUGAUUAGACCCCUAGCCUGGGAACUUCCAUAUGCCGUGGGUGCAGCCCUAGAAAAGGCAAUAAAUAAAUAAAUAAAUACAUAAAGAACCCGAGUAGAAUCCAUGAGGGUUCGACCCCUGGCCAUGAUCAGUGGGUUAAGGAUCUGGCAUUGUGGUGAGCUGUGGUGUAGGUGGCAGACAUGGCUUGGAUCUGGUGUUGCUGUGGCUGUGGCCGCAGCUGGCAGCUGCAGCUCCAAUUGGACCCCUGGCAAAGGAACGUCCAUAUGCCAUAAGUGCAGCCUUAAACAACCAACCAACCAACCAGCAAACGAACAAAAGUCUCCAGGGGAACCCCUGUGCAGACUUUUGGGAUUCUUUCUCUGUAGCUCCUUCCUUUCUGAUAAACUGCUCCCCAAAUUUCAGCUGCCUUAGCAGCUCUGAAUUCCAGUCUCUGUUUUUGUUUUGUUUUGUUUGUUCAUUUGUUUGUUCCUCCAGUGAGAGUUCCCUGCUCGGCCUCCAUUUCCCUGCACUAGUUUUGGAAACUACCUCCAGUGAAGAAGGCCUGGUGGAUCUUGAGCUCACUUGGCCUUGGUUUCUUUUCUUCCAGGAUUGCAGCCCUGUGCUUGAAGAUAGUUGUUUUAUAUGUUUUCUAGUUUUUUAGCCAUUUAUAGUGGGACUAUAAAUGUGACUUAUACUAUCCAUCAAGGCCAGAGGCAGGAGUUACUUUAGAAAAUUGCUAUGACCAUUUCAUCAUUAAAAAAAUUUUAGCGCACUGCAUCGGGCUGGGGAUUGAACCCGCAACUCUGGUUGGAUUCUUAACCUACUGCGUCACAGCAGCAACUCCCAUUCUACUGUUAAAUCUGUUUUCUUUGACUCCCAACAUCAUGCAUUCUGUUAUUUUCAUAAGGGCUUGAUUUAUUUCUCCAGAUGGCAAGCUCUUUGAGGUCAAGCAUUAUGUUUUAAUUCUUUCUAAAGCUACACACGAUUGGGAACAGUUGUUAUUCGAUUAAUAUUUUGUGAUUAAUUUUUCAGAGCAUGAGAAAUCUAAGACUUUUUAACCUGUACUUUGUCAGGAUGUGAAUACUUUUAUUUUAGAAGCUACCACAUUAAUAGGAGUUUUGAUGGGAGUGAAAGCAGAAAUUAUUUUUUUUCCUUCUUACAGUGCACCUGCAGCAUUUGGAAGUUUCCCAUAUCGGAAACUGCAGCUACAGGACUUUGCCACAGCCACAGCCACAGCCACACCAGAUCCAAGUCACAUCUCUAACCUAAACCGAAGCUUGUGGCAACGCCAGAUCCUUAACCCACUGAGCAAGGCCAGGGAUUGAACCCAAAUCCUCAUGGACAGUGUGUUGGGUUCUUAACCUGCUGAGCCACAAUGGGAACUCCAGAAAUUCUUGAUAUAGGAGUAUGAUUUCCUAAUUUUGGCUCAAACUUCUCUCAUAAUAUCUGUUUCUGCUGGAUUCUAUUUGGCAUAUUAAUAAUUCACGGAUGUGUAUAUAGGUUGAUAGCUUGAUAUAUUAAAUUUGGUUGUAGGCUUUAAGCAAAAUAAAUGAAACUACUUCACAUUGGAAGAGGGCACAUUUUUCAAUUUUAGCUCUCGAACACCUUGGAAGAGUUUGAGAAUCACUACCAUAAAUCAUCCAAAUAUCCCAUAAAUUUAACAGUUAAGCAUUCAAACUUUUUCCCUAGGUAGUAUCUUUCAUAAAAUCCAUUGCUUUUGUUCAUUAGAAUUGUGAAAACUUAAUGUUCUGAAAAUAAGAUGUAAUUAUUAUAGGAAAUUAGAAAAGAGCAGAGAAGUACAAGGAAGAAAAUACAAAUUACUAUUUCCAUCACUCAGAAAUAACUGUUAUUACCAUGAUCUAUGGAGUCAUUAAAAAAUUUUUCCACUUAUAUUUUAUUCUUUUAAAGAAACAGAUAAACAAUCCAACAGAAAAAAUGGGCGAGAGAUUCGAAUAGGCCACUCAUAAAAUGGCCAAUAAAUCCAUUAGAAAUCAAGAAAUAUAAAUUAUAAUUGCAAGAUA